GAUGAACGCUGGCGGCGUGCCUAAUACAUGCAAGUCGAGCGAACUGUUGCUGGUCUUUGUUCUCGAAAGUUUUCGCGGCGAGGGUGAGUGACACAUGUAUAGACUAUCUAUAAUAGUCGGGGAACAUUGUGAGACCGGAUCGAUUACCGGAGAUAAUAGUAUUUCUCAUAUUUGAGAAGUUUAAAAGUUGCUUAUUGUAACAUUUUGAGAUAGCCUUGCGGUGCAUUAGCUAGUUGGUGGGGUAAAGGCCCACCAAGGCCACGAUGCAUAGCCGACCUGAGAGGGUGAUCGGCCACACUGGAACUGAGACACGGCCCAGACUCCUACGGGAGGCAGCAGUAGGGAAUCUUCCGCAAUGGGCGAAAGCCUGACGGAGCAACGCCGCGUGAGUGAAGAAGGAUUUCGGUUCGUAAAGCUCUGUUAUUAGGGAAGAACGUAUAUGUAGGAACUAGACAUGUAAGUGACGGUACCUAACCAGAAAGCCACGGCUAACUACGUG
rnacentral:rRNA from 1 species